GAGAUGGAACCCAGGGCCUCAUGCUGCUAAAUAUGCUCUCUGCCACCAGCUACGCCCCCAGCCCCUGAGACUCUAGGAGAAAACUUCAGCCUUCGUGCAUUGUCACUAAACAGUCACCGACAGCUUGUAUUUUCUUAGCUCUGUGCUAAAUUACGGGGGUGCAAAGAGAUUCUACCUUCAAAAGAGCAACACACAGACACAACAUCGCUCCAAAUGCUGGGUGUGACGGGCCUGUGCUCCGCCCUGUCAGCCCAGAGCACGGGCCUGUGCCAGUGAGGAAAUCUUCCCGAAGAGGAGCGACUGAGUUCACGGCAGAUUCCGCACUGGAGACUGAAAGCACAGCAUCACCCCUUUCCAACAAUCUACUGGGGGUCCUAGCUCAUGCAAUAAUAUGAGAAAAGAGACAAAAGGCAUUGGGCAAGAAGAAAUAUGGCUGUUUUAUACAUGAAUAACAUGAUGAUAUGGAACAUUUGAAAGAAUAAACGUACGACAAUAAUAAAAAUCCUCCUUAACUAAUUACGAACUACAGCAAGGAUGCAGAACACAAGGCAAAUAUACAAAAGAUCAUUGCAGCCCAGCUCCUAAUAGACCGUGGACCUGGGGCUGGGGACCCCUGGACUGAGGCAGUCACCUGGACUUCACUGCCAGAUUCUCUGCAGACUGGGAUUAGGCUAGUUACUCCCCUGGGAAGGAGGGUGAUAGCUAACCCGAUUCCAUCGUAUGCCUCAACGCCAUUUUGGACCUGUGCUUGAACAAAGUUCUUGCAGAUGAACAAAGCACCCCCAACCCCCCACAUCCUGCUGCACUUGCAGGAUGUUUUGUAGCUCCCCUAGUGUGUGUGAAAUUUCCUUGUGCCCCCCACUAACCUGGCAUGGUUCUGCUUCUGUAAGAGUCCGCUUACUCUUCCCUGAGCCCUCCCCAACUGAAAGCAGGAUUUAAAAGGAGACGUCAAACUGCUUCCCAUUGCCAAUAAACCUUUCUGGGCGCCAGCCCCCCUCAGCUGCCGGCUAUAAUAAAUGGGCUCGCAUCUGUCAUGGAGUGUGGCACAUCUCUAUUGACCACACUCACUCGUCCACAACAGGAGAACUCUUCGAGAAUCAGCAUCACCUCCACCACAGCUAGAAACUUCUUGGAGUGCAGGCCCCACUAUGGUGCCCUCCUCUGUGUCUGCGAAGUGAUCCUCAUCGUCAUGGGCAGCCCCAAGGGUGGUACUGUAUCCUCCCCAUGUACAAAGAGCUGUGCUCUGUCCUGUGUUAUCAGCUUCCUGUUACCUAACAGACACCCAAGGCUAUUCACCAAUAAAGGAAAAAGGGUUAUUCUGGCUCAUGGUUUUGGAAGUUUCAGUCCAUGGUCAACUGGCCUCAUGCUUUUGGAACUGUGGUGAAGCAACACAUCAUGGCAUCAGUACAUGGCUAACCACUCACCUCAUGGCUGGGGAGCAAAGACAGAGAUCAGAGUCUCACAGUCUCCUUCAAGGGCAAGAUUCCAAUGACCCAAAGACCUUUUACUACUGCCCAAUAGUGAUGUGCUAGGGACCAAGCCUUUAACACAUGGGCCUUUAGAUCCA
ensembl:lncRNA